rnacentral:rRNA from 1 species
AACUUUCAACAACGGAUCUCUUGGCUCUCGCAUCGAUGAAGAACGCAGCGAAAUGCGAUACGUAAUGUGAAUUGCAGAAUUCAGUGAAUCAUCGAAUCUUUGAACGCACCUUGCGC